CCCUUAGAUGUCCUGGGCCGCACGCGCGCUACACUGAAGGAAUCAGCGUGGCUUUCUCCCUGACCCGAAAGGGUUGGGAAACCCGUUGAAUCUCCUUCGUGAUAGGGAUUGGGGCUUGAAAUUGUUCCCCAUGAACGAGGAAUUCCCAGUAAGCGCGAGUCAUAAGCUCGCGUUGAUUACGUCCCUGCCCUUUGUACACACCGCCCGUCGCUACUACCGAUUGAACGGUUUAGUGAGGGCCGCGGAUUGGUCUCGGCCCGCUCUUUACCGGGCGGCGCCGUUGGUCGAGAAGACGCUCGAACUUGAUCGUUUAGAGGAAGUAAAAGUCGUAACA
rnacentral:rRNA from 1 species